rnacentral:ncRNA from 2 species
CUCUUAUCCUGAGAGGUGGAGGGACUGGCCCGAUGAAGCCCGGCAACCUGCCAAUAGCAGCAAGGCAUGGUGCCAAUACCUGCAGCCUUAUGGCUGGAUGAUAAGAG